rnacentral:rRNA from 1 species
GACGAACGCUGGCGGCGUGCUUAACACAUGCAAGUCGAACGGAAAGGCCCUGCUUUUGUGGGGUGCUCGAGUGGCGAACGGGUGAGUAACACGUGAGUAACCUGCCCUUGACUUUGGGAUAACUUCAGGAAACUGGGGCUAAUACCGGAUAGGAGCUCCUGCUGCAUGGUGGGUGUUGGAAAGUUUCGGCGGUUGGGGAUGGACUCGCAGCUUAUCAGCUUGUUGGUGGGGUAGUGGCUUACCAAGGCUUUGAUGGGUAGCCGGCCUGAGAGGGUGACCGGCCACAUUGGGACUGAGAUACGGCCCAGACUCCUAAGGGAGGCAGCAGUGGGAAAUAUUGCACAAUGGGCGGAAGCCUGAUGCAGCAACGCCGCGUGCGGGAUGACGGACUUCGGGUUGUAAACCGCUUUCGCCUGUGACGAAGCGUGAGUGACGGUAAUGGGUAAAGAAGCACCGGCUGACUACGUG